rnacentral:tRNA from 1 species
GGGCAGGUGGCCGAGUGGUUAAGGCGCUACGUUUAGGCCGUAGUGGGAAACCGCGUGCGUUCGAACCGCACCCUGCUCA